rnacentral:rRNA from 1 species
AUUUAAGCAUAUAAGUAAGCGGAGGAAAAGAAACUAAAUAGGAUUCUCUUAGUAAUGGCGAAUGAACUGGGAUGAGCUCACCAUGGGAAUCGGGGUCUUCGACCUUGAAUUGUAGUCUUGAGACGCACCGCCAACAAAGGCGCAGGUGUAAGCCUCUUGGAAGAGAGCAUCGCAGAGGGUGAGAGUCCCGUCUGUCACCUGCAGUCCCUUGUGUACGGCAUGCGUUCUGAGAGUCACGUUCCUCGGGAUUGGAGCGCAAAUUGGGUGGUAAGUUUCACCUUAAGCUAAAUAUUGGUCCGAGACCGAUAGCAAACAAGUACCAUGAGGGAAAGGUGAAAAGGACUUUGAAAAGAGAGUUAAAAGUGCUUGAAAUUGCUGAAAGGGAAGCGAAUGGAACCAGUUCUGCUGGGCGAGAUUGUCGCACGCCAAGGCCUCGUGCCGGCCGCAUGCGGUGCUUCUUGCCUUGUGUGUCAGCUGCGGUCCGAGGUUGGGGAAAACUCUGGGGACAUGGAUGCCAACCUCCGGGGGGGUGAAUGUGCCUGGCAAGACCCGUCCUCGGACCGUGAGCAGUGCUUCGGCAUGUCUGCGGUGCUGACGAAAUGCUUCUAUUCGACCCGUCUUGAAACACGGACCGAGGAGUCUAACAUGUGUGCGAGCUCACGGGUGUCAAACCUGCUUGCGCAAUGAAAGUGACUGCUGGGAUACUUGCACCAGCAACCGAUCUGUCAACUGAGAGAGAUUUGAGUUUGAGCAUACCUGUUAGGACCCGAAAGAUGGUGAACUAUGCUUGUGUAGGGCAAAGCCAGGGGAAACUCUGGUGGAGGCUCGUAGCGAUACUGACGUGCAAAUCGUUCGUCAAACAUGAGUAUAGGGGCGAAAGACUAAUCGAACCAUCUAGUAGCUGGUUCCCUCCGAAGUUUCCCUCAGGAUAGCUGGAGUUGAACAGUUUUAUCAGGUAAAGCGAAUGAUUAGAGGAAUCGGGGACGUGUUGUCCUCGACCUAUUCUCAAACUUUAAAUGGGUAAGAUCUAAUAGUUGCUUCAUUGAACUGUUGGGGUAAAUGUGAACUCUAAGUGGGCCAUUUUUGGUAAGCAGAACUGGCGAUGAGGGAUGAACCUAACGUUGGGUUAAGGUGCUUAACUGCUCGCUCAUCAGAUACCAUAAAGGGUGUUGGUUCAUUUUAACAGCAGGACGGUGGUCAUGGAAGUCGAAAUCCGCUAAGGAGUGUGUAACAACUCACCUGCCGAAUGGACUAGCCCCGAAAAUGGAUGGCGCUCAAGCGGGUGACUGAUACCCAACCAUUGUUGCAAUUGUGCGGCAUCAAUGAGUAGGAGGGCAUGGGGGCCUGUGAUGAUGCUUUUGGCGUAAGCCUGGGUGAAACAGCUCCUAGUGCAGAUCUUGGUGGUAGUAGC